GCCGCUUGUGCGCAUGUGCGUGCAUGCAUCCAGAGGUUACCACAGGUUACCACGCGCGACUGAGUAAAUACAGGUGGAUAUUAAUCAGUUCGAUGACUCAAAUACUUCUUGCCAUCAACGGACAACGUUUCAUACUACAGUACGUGAUCUGGAGCUUGACUUCACCUGUUUUGUGGUGAUUAACAAAUUGUGCGGUGCUUUUGGCAUUGUCUAUCCAUGUAUAAUUGUGAUGUUCCAGGAGUGUUAAUGGAAGCUACACAGUAUGUAGAUGUUUGUUCCAUUAUGUGUAUGUGUGUGUACCUGGUAAUUAUCACGUUGUGGGGACCGAAUGUCCCCACAAAGAUAGGAAUACCAGUAAAUUUUGACCUCGUGGGGACAUUUGUGAGGUCCCCAUGAGGAACCAAGCUUAUAAAUUAAACGGAAUGAUUUUCUUGGAUUUUUUCUUGAAAAUCUAAGGUCGCAGAAAGUUUUCUGUGAUGGUUGGUGUUAGGGUUUGGGGAAGGGAAUAGAAUAUACAGUUUGUACAGUAUAAAAUGCAUUAUGUCUAUGGAAUGUCCCCACAAAAGAUGGAAACCAGAAUGUGUGUGUGUGCGUGCCAUGGAACAAAUAUUUAUUUUUAUAGCUUUUUGUGUGUUCUGUUUUUGACUUUCCCUCUGAUAUCAAGACACCAAAAUAAUCUUUUA